CCGCUGGACGACAAAGAUAUGACGUCCUAUAUUCUCGCUGGUCUUGAUGAUGACUACGAGCCUGUCGUCUCCUCUCUCAUGGGAAGGGCGGAGCCGGCUACAGUUGCGGAAGUGUGCUCACAAUUCCUGAGCUUUGAGA
rnacentral:snoRNA from 1 species